rnacentral:rRNA from 1 species
GGACCCGCACAAGCGGUGGAUGAUGUGGAUUAAUUCGAUGCAACGCGAAAAACCUUACCUACCCUUGACAUGGAAGGAAUCCCGAAGAGAUUUGGGAGUGCUCGAAAGAGAACCUUCACACAGGUGCUGCAUGGCUGUCGUCAGCUCGUGUCGUGAGAUGUUGGGUUAAGUCCCGCAACGAGCGCAACCCUUGUCAUUAGUUGCUACGAAAGGGCACUCUAAUGAGACUGCCGGUGACAAACCGGAGGAAGGUGGGGAUGACGUCAAGUCCUCAUGGCCCUUAUGGGUAGGGCUUCACACGUCAUACAAUGGUACAUACAGAGGGCCGCCAACCCGCGAGGGGGAGCUAAUCCCAGAAAGUGUAUCGUAGUCCGGAUUGGAGUCUGCAACUCGACUCCAUGAAGUUGGAAUCGCUAGUAAUCGCGGAUCAGCAUGUCGCGGUGAAUACGUUCCCGGGUCUU